CUUUGUAUUUAUUGAACAAAAAACCACUAACAUUAAAACGUAUAAAGUAAAUACUCGUUGCUUUGAAGGUGCGUGGACACUAAUAGCAAGUUCCAUCCAAGUUGCUCUGUUUUAAGGUAUCCCCACUUUAUGAGGCUGCGCUGCCUUCUAAUAUAACCCCAUUAUCAACUCUUUGAAAUAUUAAUUAUAUUACACCUUUCCUCACCAA
rnacentral:lncRNA from 1 species